GGCGGAGGCGGGGCGGAGGCGGGGCGGAGGCGGGGCGGAGGCGGGGCGGAGGCGGGGCGGAGGCGGGGCCUGGCUGUGGCGGCGACGCCGGUGGGUAGCUGGGUUUAGAGCAGGGGGACUACGGGUCGGCGUUGGGCUCAGUGGGGUCGGACGAAGGACAGGCCGGACGGGAAUCUUCGCGGCGCCUGUUGACGGCUAGCUGAGCGGCCAGUCGAGGCUUCUCGGUCGCCCAGUGCCCCCGCCGCGCGGUCUCAGGCGGCUUUUCGGUUCACCGCAGCCAGCGCCACGGUGGGGGCCCGGCCCAGCGGCACCUGCUGCCGAGCACCGCCCCCGCCAGGUGCUCAUGAUGGGGCUCAUCUUCCCUGAGCUAUGGAGCCACUUCUGUAACCAAGGAUCUGUUCUUUGAAGACUGUUUAGAAGAAAAGGUUAAAUGAUCCACUACCAGUGUGCCACCUUUGUGUACGAAAGGAGACACCAGAAGAGCAAAGUAUCAUCACAUACUGCGGUAAAGAGAUUUUGCUGUCAAGGUUGAUAUGAUGUCACUUCCUUCAAAGUCCAAGAACAAGCCUUGUUUGGUCUCUGUCUCAUUCCGCUGCAGGGUGCGUCAAGAAUUCGGUCAAAGGAUUCUGACUGUUGGAAAUGAGAGUCACUGAACUUUAUGAGUGCCAUGAGGAUCCUAUCACCCAUUGUUCUCAACUGAAAUUUUUUGAAAACAGGAAAAGCCCCACUCCCAUUUUGUUUUACACAUCUAUAAGUUAUUGUAAAACAAAAACAGUAUUUUAAUUCUCAUUCAUAAAGCAUGCACCUCCCAGAAUACAUUCCCUGACAGAGGGGAAAGACCACUGGACAAGUAAGAAAAUCACAAUUCAUAUACUCUUUGUACCUCUUUCUAGCUGUGCACUUGGGUAAGAGAAGCCUUACCUCAGUAAACUUCCAGUUACGUAUCUGUAAAAUGAAAUACACACACCCAUACAUCUAGACUAUCUAGAAUAGAAUAUCUAGAAUAUCUAGAACAAUAUCUCCAUUAUCAUUAAAUUGAAUGCUACAAAUUAUAACAUUUUAUGAUAAAGAUAUUACUAAACUAUCUGGUCCUUAAGUACAGGGGUCAUUUCUCCUUUAUAUUUCCAUAGCUAGUGUUCAAAUAUUUAUUGAAUAGAUAGAUUUUUUAAAUAAAUUGAAAAUUAAAUAAAAUAUUAAGAUGGCAAGGAUAUGUGUGACAGACAGAAUAAUGUCCACCCAAAGAUGUCCACAACCUACUCCCCACAACCUGUGAGUAUGUCAUGUGGCAAAGGGGAAUUAAGGCUGCAAAUGGAAUUAAGAUGGCUAAUCAGCUGAUCUUAAAAUCAGGAGAGUAUCCUGGAUUAUCACUGUGGGCUCAAUGUGACCUCCAAAUUCGUAAAAGUGGACGAAGACAGAAGAUGGAAAGCAACAGAGCUGGCAGCAUAAAGAGGACUCCGCUUGAGGUCAUUGCCUUUGAAGAUGGA
rnacentral:lncRNA from 1 species